GGCAUCGCGAGUUUCCGUUUGGAGGAGUCUACGGCAAAUCUAUGAGCCAACGAACAGAAACAGCAUACAAGGCCAAGUCUCCGGAUGAGUCAGCACAACAUGACGAAGUCCAGGAUUCGAAGAGAUAUGGUAAAUGCUGCGGUUGUGUAAAGAAAGAUUACGUU
rnacentral:ncRNA from 1 species